rnacentral:rRNA from 1 species
UACGUAGGGGGCUAGCGUUGUCCGGAAUCAUUGGGCGUAAAGAGCGUGUAGGCGGCCCGGUAAGUCCGCUGUGAAAGUCGGGGGCUCAACCCUCGAAUGCCGGUGGAUACUGUCGGGCUAGAGUACGGAAGAGGCGAGUGGAAUUCCUGGUGUAGCGGUGAAAUGCGCAGAUAUCAGGAGGAACACCGAUUGCGAAGGCAGCUCGCUGGGACGUUACUGACGCUGAGACGCGAAAGCGUGGGGAGCAAACAGG